rnacentral:rRNA from 1 species
UUCGGUGGCCAUAGCGAGAGGGAAACACCUCUUCCCAUUCCGAACAGAGCAGUUAAGCCUCUCCGCGCCGAUGGUACUUGACCUGAAAGGGUCUGGGAGAGUAGGUCGCCGCCGAUU